rnacentral:tRNA from 1 species
GGCCUGGUGGCCUAAUAGUAAGGCGUUGCUUUCCGGUGGCAAAGAUUGCGGGUUCGAGUCCCGUCUGGGUCG